ACUCUUCAAGAAAGAACCAAGCAGAUGUUGGUUGGCUUCGUUUGACCUUUCGCAAUCAUUUGUUUCAUUAAGAAUAUUUCCACUUGGAUGCAAAAGCAGAAUGAUGCAAUAGCAUAAUCCUCCACAUGCCACCACAUCUCACCUAGUUUUAACAUGCAUGGACAAAGAAAUAUCUGACUUACCUAUGAUUGAGCAAUUUACAUAAUUCUUAAUUAGCCAUUAGGCCUCCAUGUACUAAGCUGCUGUCUACCUGGCUGUUUGUUUUUGUUCUUGUUUCUUUGGGUAUUAACUCUAUCUUGUAUUUUGCUCAUAGUUCUUGGUAUUUACCUAUAAUUUACUUAUGAUUCAACAUGAAGGGAAUUUCUG
rnacentral:lncRNA from 1 species